rnacentral:lncRNA from 1 species
GAAGGCAGGACACCUUGCAAAGUCAUAUGCUCGCUGGAAUCAUUGCGGCGUGUGAGACCACCAUAGCUGAGAGGCAUCGGAACGGGAAGUGUUUCACCAAAGACGGCUGGGAACGAGUUGUCUCACUCUUCAACUCAGUGACCGGCCAUAAUUGGAGCCGACAAUAGCUGCGAAAUCAUUGGGAUUCAAUGCACCGAACAUACAAGCGUCUAUCAGAGCUUCUCAAUAGUUGCGGGAUCGAGUAUAACGACACAACCGGCCGAAUCGUUGCUUCUGAGGAAUGGUGGAACCGGAAGAUUAAGGUAAUGGAUUUUCAAUUUCUCAACAACCCGUUUUCCUGUAAGAGCGAUUAAUACGCUGGCUUACUGCCUUUUCGGUGCAUUGCUGAGUCUUUACAUUUGCAUCAGACAUUUGAGUCUGAAAACUGAAUUGUAUUGUACCAAAAAACUUUAUUAUAGUUCUUACUUAGCCUUUAACUCAUAUUCAAUUUUCUUUGUUUUGAUGGCAAGUAUUGUGAGUGUAGAUGAAAACACUGCUGCAUUAGGUUAAUGCCCAGAAUAGCAUCAAACGUCUGGUAUUCGUUAUAUGUCAUUCUCACUGCACUUGUUUUGUCGCACAAUAUACAAAAUGCUUUGUGCUGCUUCUAGAAAUACAAAUUCAUGUGUGCAACCCAUAGAUCGAAAUAUUAAUUUUGGCAUUUAUUGUUUAUUGUAUGAUACUUUAGUAUCUGAGACUUGCUUCAUCAUCAGUGAUGGGUAUACUUGUAGUUUGGUGUAGAAUAGUAUUACUUCAUACUCAAAAAUUAAUUUUUCUCUAGCAGUUGUUUGUGUUUUUCAUACAUAGCAAAUUGCGUUUCCCUCCGGUACUCUCAUUUAGGUCCCCAUUUAUGCAGGAGAACGUGGUCUAUAAACACUUCAAAGACAGAGACAUCAGCGAGAUAUACAUAAAAUACCAUCAGCUAUUUGGCGACAGCUAUGAUGCAGACAAGUACGCUAUCACUCCAACGAAGUUGUGUAGAACGAGAUUUAGCCUGUACGAGGAUAGUACGCUCGAGGACAAUAGGGAUGCAAUCUCAGUGGACGACGAGCAGUGGUUCGAGUGACGAGACCGAACAGACGGUGGUCCGUGCUUGCGAGAACGUGUCGAGCACCACAGGCGGCAGUAAAAAGAAGUCUUCUCGUUGGCAGUGGAAGGACAGGAAAAAAAAGAUGUCUGCUCAUGAACUGUCCUUCUCAGUAGAUCGCGCCACCAGUACGGCGGAGGAAGUGGCUGUGAAGAUUUAUACGAUAAUGGCUUCAAAUGAAAGCGCUGGCGCGAAUUGUGUCGAAGAGUUGCUAGCGACAGGCCGGCUCCAGCGGCGCACACCUCUUUACUUUCACGCUUGCCAGCUUCCAGCCCAUAAAUAGUACUAUGACAUGCUCGCCGUCAUGAGAGAUGCGGACGAGCAAUUUGAGUGGAUCGAGUGGGUGUUCAACGACCGGGGAAAGUAAUUGUGGCAGUCAUUGUGUGUUCUUUUAUUUCUUUUACAUUUUCGAGACCUUUC